rnacentral:rRNA from 1 species
UACGUAGGGUGCAAGCGUUAAUCGGAAUUACUGGGCGUAAAGCGUGCGCAGGCGGUUUUGUAAGUCAGAUGUGAAAUCCCCGGGCUUAACCUGGGAACUGCGUUUGAAACUACAAGGCUAGAGUGUGGCAGAGGGGGGUGGAAUUCCACGUGUAGCAGUGAAAUGCGUAGAUAUGUGGAGGAAUACCGAUGGCGAAGGCAGCCCCCUGGGAUGACACUGACGCUCAUGCACGAAAGCGUGGGGAGCAAACAGG